rnacentral:rRNA from 1 species
GAUGAACGCUGGCGGCGUGCCUAAUACAUGCAAGUCGAGCGAACAGACGAGGAGCUUGCUCCUCUGACGUUAGCGGCGGACGGGUGAGUAACACGUGGAUAACCUACCUAUAAGACUGGGAUAACUUCGGGAAACCGGAGCUAAUACCGGAUAAUAUAUUGAACCGCAUGGUUCAAUAGUGAAAGACGGUUUUGCUGUCACUUAUAGAUGGAUCCGCGCCGCAUUAGCUAGUUGGUAAGGUAACGGCUUACCAAGGCAACGAUGCGUAGCCGACCUGAGAGGGGGAUCGCCCCCACGGAAACUGAGACCCGGUCCAGCCCCCUACGGGGGGCAGCAGUGGGGAAUUUCCCGCAAGGGGCGAAAGCCUGACGGGGCAACGCCGGGUGGGGGAUGAAGGUUUUCGGUUUGUAAACCUUUUUUAUUGGGGAAGAACAAAUGUGUAAGUAACUAUGCCCGUCUUGACGGUACCUAAUCAGAAAGCCACGGCUAACUACGG